rnacentral:misc_RNA from 1 species
AACAUCGCGCACCUGCGGGAACCUGCGGAAGGAUCAUUACCGAGUUUACAACUCCCAAACCCAAUGUGAACCAUACCAAACUGUUGCCUCGGCGGGGUCACGCCCCGGGUGCGUCGCAGCCCCGGAACCAGGCGCCCGCCGGAGGGACCAACCAAACUCUUUUCUGUAGUCCCCUCGCGGACGUUAUUUCUUACAGCUCUGAGCAAAAAUUCAAAAUGAAUCAAAACUUUCAACAACGGA